rnacentral:rRNA from 1 species
UAUAACUUAGUGGCAGACGGGUGAGUAAUGUAUAGGAAUCUACCUAGUAGUACGGAAUAAUUGUUGGAAACGACAACUAAUACCGUAUACGCCCUACGGGGGAAAAAUUUAUUGCUAUUAGAUGAGCCUAUAUUAGAUUAGCUAGUUGGUGGGGUAAUAGCCUACCAAGGUAAUGAUCUAUAGCUGAUCUGAGAGGAUGAUCAGCCACACUGGAACUGAGAUACGGUCCAGACUCCUACGGGAGGCAGCAGUGGGGAAUAUUGGACAAUGGGCGAAAGCCUGAUCCAGCCAUGCCGCAUGAGUGAAGAAGGCCUUUGGGUUGUAAAGCUCUUUUAGUGAGGAAGAUAAUGACGGUACUCACAGAAGAAGUCCUGGCUAACUCCGUGCCAGCAGCCGCGGUAAUACGGAGAGGGCUAGCGUUAUUCGGAAUUAUUGGGCGUAAAGGGCGCGUAGGCUGGUUAAUAAGUUAAAAGUGAAAUCCCGAGGCUUAACCUUGGAAUUGCUUUUAAAACUAUUAAUCUAGAGAUUGAAAGAGGAUAGGGGAAUUCCUGAUGUAGAGGUAAAAUUCGUAAAUAUUAGGAGGAACACCAGUGGCGAAGGCGUCUAUCUGGUUCAAAUCUGACGCUGAAGCGCGAAGGCGUGGGGAGCAAACAGGAUUAGAUACCCUGGUAGUCCACGCUGUAAACGAUGAAUGUUAAAUAUGGGGAGUUUACUUUCUGUAUUACAGCUAACGCGUUAAACAUUCCGCCUGGGGACUACGGUCGCAAGAUUAAAACUCAAAGGAAUUGACGGGGACCCGCACAAGCGGUGGAGCAUGUGGUUUAAUUCGAUGCAACGCGAAAACCUUACCACUUCUUGACAUGAAAAUCAAACCCUAUUCC